rnacentral:misc_RNA from 1 species
UCUCCGUAGGUGAACCUGCGGAAGGAUCAUUAUUGUGUAACCGAGCUGCGAGCGCUUGCGCUCCUCCGUAAGGGCGUCCUCGCCCGGGUGCCCGCACCCGCCCUCCUCCCACCCCUCUGUGCACCCCCGCGUGCAUCCCCCCGUGCCUUGCCCGCAGCGGUGCUCUCGUUUUCACACAAACUUUGUAUGUCAAGACGUUCGUCUUCGUUGUUUUUGCUUUCGGCCACUAUAUACAACUUACAACAACGGAUCUGUUCGCUCUCGCACCGAAGAAAAACA